GGUCUGAUCGUAUAGUGGUUAGUACACAAGAUUCUGAGUUGCUUCAACACACCUCGUUCUUGUAGCCUGGGUUCGAUUCCCAGUCGGACCU
rfam:Trichosporon oleaginosus strain IBC0246 unplaced genomic scaffold CC85scaffold_33, whole genome shotgun sequence.